rnacentral:rRNA from 1 species
AUAUGGAGGGGGUUAGCGUUGUUCGGAAUUACUGGGCGUAAAGCGCACGUAGGCGGAUUGGAAAGUUGGGGGUGAAAUCCCAGGGCUCAACCCUGGAACUGCCUCCAAAACUAACAGUCUAGAGUUCGAGAGAGGUGAGUGGAAUUCCAAGUGUAGAGGUGAAAUUCGUAGAUAUUUGGAGGAACACCAGUGGCGAAGGCGGCUCACUGGCUCGAUACUGACGCUGAGGUGCGAAAGCGUGGGGAGCAAACAGGAUUAGAAACCCUAGUAGUCC